rnacentral:rRNA from 1 species
AUUGAACGCUGGCGGCAGGCAUAACACAUGCAAGUCGAACGAGUGGCGGACGGGUGAGUAAUGUCUGGGAAACUGCCUGAUGGAGGGGGAUAACUACUGGAAACGGUAGCUAAUACCGCAUACCAUCAGAUGUGCCCACAUGGGAUUAGCUAGUAUGUGGGGUAACGGCUCACCUAGGCGACGAUCCCUAGCUGGUCUGAGAGGAUGACUAGCCUAACUGGAACUGAGACACGGUCCAGACUCCUACGGGAGGUAUCAGUGGUGAAUAUUGCCCAAUGGGCGCAAGCCUGAUGCAGCCAUGCCGCGUGUAUGAAGAAGGCCUUUGGGUUGUAAAGUACUUUCAGCGGGGAUGCGUUACCCGCAGAAGAAGGACCGGCUAACUCCGUGCCAGCAGCCGAGGUAAGUC